GAGGACGUGGUGUAACUGAACAACAUCUCAGAUUACGAACCUGUAGCUCGCUUCCCGAAGGGUAGAGUGGGGGUUUGAGUCCCUCCGUCCUCGCCA
rnacentral:tRNA from 1 species